UUUCCGGCCGAUCCCAAGCGCAGGAUGAGCGCGGCUGAUCCGCAGCAGCUUCCAAGGGGAUAAGCGAACCGCUAUUCUUACGACACGAUGGGAUGUCUGUGACGUGGAGCUCCUGUCCCCACUUGUGACACCCCACCUCCCAGCCGCAUGUAACACACCAUCCUUGAUCAUCCUUUCAUGAUGGCCUCGCCGUCAGCAACCGCAACGUCAUAGCGUGGAGGCUGCCGAUCUGGGUCCUUCUUGCACCAGUGAGGGGGAGAUACCGGCCAGCUGCAUACCGUAAGGCUCUACGCUACGAAACAAUUCCGCACUUAACUAGAAGUCAUUACGCCUUAAUCUCGGGGCCUCAUGGGAACGCUGGCGAUUAAGCGGAAAGGAACGGCCGCGGGGUACGAACAGCACAUGAAAGGCCGUUUUAUUAGUCACGGUCUGAUGUGUCUGCGCUGGGUCUCCACCAUGUGACUCAUCAUGUGACUCACCAUGCCAGUGUCACCGACCCGGCUCGCUUUUGGGGGGAGUCACUGAGAGCCAGACUCCGUCCCCCGUCAUCCUCCUCCAAAUGGGCCGCCGACCACCAACAACACGACCGAAGGCAGCUCCAUCCCAGGAGAGAUCUGGUUGCCAUGACGUCUACUGCCAGAGUUGAAAUAUAAACCAGUGCUGAGUCCCAGCAGGGAAAUUCACAGCCCAUGUUGCAUAGCAUAGCAUGUGCACUGAACCUGUAUCUUUCAAGUGAUCGGAAGGUGUGGCCAGUUCCCGAUCAGCUACGGCCAAACUCCACCCUCUCCUGAAGCCAUUGCUGGCUGAUGCACCUUGUUCCUUUACUGGGACACCUGCACUACAAAAAUUUCUGCUGUUUUCUGGUUAAACUUUGGGCUGUUCCCAUCCUAAAUAACCCAGCCCACCCCCCACCCUAUUCACUGGACCGGUGCGCCCCCCCCGGUCCCAUUCCUGACCCUACACUUGAACUCCAUUGAAAGUGUCCGCAAUGCAGAACGUGUCCUGCGCCUUUAAAUGGAGGAGACCAUGGCGACCCCUGAUGCCCCAAACUAUGCUCUCGAUAAACAGACCGCGAGGCCCCAAACACACUCCACGAGGCGUUUGCUCUGUUUUCUUUUUCCAGUGGGUGUCCUUUCACUCUGCCCCCCCCUUUCCGUCUUUCUCUCCGUAUUCGGGUUCCCCUCUUUUGGCUCUGGAGAACGCAGGGGUUUGUCGAAGGGGUGCGGGGCUGUCCCGGGGGAAUUCCCAUUAUGAGGCGGGUAAUUCACUCAACGGCAAUGCAGCAAUUGACACAAUCGGGAGCUCAGCACUGCACGGGUCGAGGGCUGGAGCUUUGCACUGCUGCAAACCCUUUAAUUAGCUCCUCCAAUUCAACGAGCACUUCAGCAUCCCGGACACAACUGACUGAAACUGUAACUAGUGCAAGUUCUCAAUUGUGGUUUAUUACUAAAAACACUGCAUAUUUUUAAAAAUAAGGUGCCUGGUUCUGAAGGCUUGGCAGUUCACAUACUCAAACAAUGACAUUGCAUUACCUGUGAUACUGUUUAUUGGGAACCAGUGCAAACUAAUGGUGGAUGGGAAGAUUAGAGUUUGGCUGCAGGCUCCAAACUUACAUUGAUCUCUCCUGUAACCUUGACGUAAAUCUGGGCAUCAUGGUUAAAUAUCUCUCUGCAUGAAUGGGGAACAUGUGGACUGUCAAUGGAGUAAAUGCAAUAAGGUGAGAACCUGCCAGAAUGUUCUGCAAUGGGAGCCCAGGUCAGAUCCAGGAGCACAGGAGGCUGGAUGUCCUAAGGGAUAAACCCACUACACUGUCCAGAAGAACAAGGGGUCAGCAGGUGACGUGGAUGCUGAACAGAAGGGUCUGAGACCAGAAAGUCGUUUGAUCGAAGCCCAUAAAAUGGCAUGUAACCAACAUCACCUGAACUUCAUCGACAGAACGAUAUGCAACAACAGCGUUAUGACAAAUCAGGUCCUUCUUCACACAGAGGGGCUGUCAGCUGUGGGACACACUGGUCUGGUUACCCCCCUCCAGAAACCAGGACCAGAUCUUCGCCCCUCCCCCCUUUCCUGGUGGGGGGAGGGUUUCAAGUACCAUCCUAUUCUACUGGUGUGGAGGAAAGCCGAUUGAAGAACAGACACAAGUGUGAUCUGAUAAGAAAGCCGACUUCCCUUUGCUGGGCUGUGUGUUUGGAGAAGCCCGGACCUGCCCACCACCCUGCCUGCUAACGUCUCGCGGGGUUGAUCCAGAGUGACAACAUCCAAGGCUUUUUAUCUGAUACCACCCUGUUACAUCUAAUCCAGCUUUUAAAGGCACUUCUGCUUCAUAUCUAUAGCAUGCUAUUAUUUUUUAAGUGUGCGUUUUACCAGCUGUUGGUUUGCUGCAGUCUGACCUGGGUAUUUCAGUUACACUGUCCUGACAUUUACAAGUUUAUAUAUUUUUUUUUAUUUCUGACUUCUUGCGCGAAUGUUUAUUUGUGUAGCAACCUUACACCCGACUAAGGAAUCCCAUUUAGACUCAGUAUAAAAUAAACCAGACUUCGCAAACAUUUUGCCAUCGGAGAGCCCGGUAAUUUUUUCUGUAACCGCUGGCGAUGGACAAAUUACAGUAAAAUGCAGUAUAAGCGUUUUGUGUGAUAAACGUAGGGAUUGAUUGUUGAUGUUACACAGUGAUGUUGAAUGACUUUAAAAAUUCUUUAUAAAAAAUAAAUGUGUAUAUACAGUA